AGUGAACGCUGGCGGUAGGCCCAACACAUGCAAGUCGAACGGCAGCGCAGUAAGAGCUUGCUCUUACGGGUGGCGAGUGGCGGACGGGUGAGGAAUACAUCGGAAUCUACUUUUUCGUGGGGGAUAACGUAGGGAAACUUACGCUAAUACCGCAUACGACCUACGGGUGAAAGCAGGGGAUCUUCGGACCUUGCGCGAUUGAAUGAGCCGAUGUCGGAUUAGCUAGUUGGCGGGGUAAAGGCCCACCAAGGCGACGAUCCGUAGCUGGUCUGAGAGGAUGAUCAGCCACACUGGAACUGAGACACGGUCCAGACUCCUACGGGAGGCAGCAGUGGGGAAUAUUGGACAAUGGGCGCAAGCCUGAUCCAGCCAUACCGCGUGGGUGAAGAAGGCCUUCGGGUUGUAAAGCCCUUUUGUUGGGAAAGAAAAGCAGCAGGUUAAUACCCCGCUGUUCUGACGGUACCCAAAGAAUAAGCACCGGCUAACUUCGUG
rnacentral:rRNA from 1 species